CAGCUCAUGGCAGGAAGUUACCUUAAAUCUUACUCUGUGUGGCUUCCUUUGCAUGCCUGGCACAAGAUACGGAUGUAAUAUAAUGGAGAAACAGACUGGUACUUGCCCUUAGGGGCCCUGCAGUCCAGUGCCCAGGUCAACAGGAGUGUCCUUCUGCAGAGGGAUGGGAGCAAAUGCUUCAGGCUCUGUGAGCCAUGGGGUCUCUGCUGCAGCUCCCAUGGUGUGUAAGCAGCUCCAGCUCCAGCUACUGUGUAAAAGAAUCUCUGGAGGAUCCUUGCAAUGGAGGAUUUGAAAUUGUAUUGGGGAGCAACAACAGUCACUCCUCCAAGUCACCAGGUGUCGCUGGUGUGCCAAAGCGGCGAAGUGUCAG
rnacentral:lncRNA from 1 species